rnacentral:rRNA from 1 species
AGUAACACGUGGGGAACGUACCCUUCAGUUCCGGAACAACCCAUGGGAAACUUGUGGCUAAUACCUGGAUACGUCCGUGAGGAGAAAGAUUUAUCGCUGAAGGAUCGGCCCGCGUUGAAUUAGUUAUUUGUGGGGUAAUGGCCCACCAAGGCGAGGAUCAGUAGCUGGUUUAGAGGAUGAUCAGCCUCACUGGGACUGAGACCCGGCUCCAAACUUCAAACGGGGAGGCAGCCGUGUGGGAAUAUUGGACAAUGGGCGCAAGCCUGAUCCAGCCAUGCCGGUGGAUAUGAACGGCCUUGGGGUUGUCCAGUCCUUUCGGGGGGAACCAUAUUACUGUCCCGGAGAAGAAGCCCCCGGUAAUUUCGUGCCAGCCGCCGCGG